AAGGGUUUUAGUGAAGUUGCUGGAAGUUUAGCCGGGGAAGCCUUUGAACGGACAGGCUCUAACGAGUGGGGAAGAGCGUCAAAAAAAGAGACUGGAGACGCUUUGAAAAGGGAACGAUCUGUCACUGCAAAGCGAAAAAAGAGGGAGGCGAUUUCGGCCGCCCCCUCCUGCCGCAGGGAUCCGGGCGAACGGGGCCGGCUGCCGCCCCCGGGGGGGCCCCGAACCGUCCCGGGGGGACUCCGAACUGUCCCCGGGGGGCCCGUCCCCGCCUUUCGCUGUGACGGCGGUGUGGCAAGAGGUGGAGUUGAAUACAAUGCCUGCAUUUGUGGUUAACUACAAGCAAUGUGUUAUGAGGACGAUGGUAUUCAGACACAUACCCAAACAAUUUGCUUCAGAUAAAGCGAAUACAAGACUCUGACCAGCAGGAGAAGAACAGGGUUCUUCAAUCCCGCCGAGGAUGCACAGAGCUGAUCUCUAAGUCUGUGAUAUCUGCUGCCGCUGAGAGGGCACCAACAGGCCUCUUGGCUUUGGAGCGAUGAAUUCCCAGCCCAGCCCUGAUAACGUGUCCGGGGAGGACGACCGCUUCUGCACUGUGCAGUUCUUCUCCACUGUUCAGACGCCUUGAUGAAUGUGUUCGGUCCAGUACUAGCCAGGGUGCAAAGCUGAACAUCCAUAGCCACCACUCACCUGCUCCUCACAGUGGAGGUUUCUACCCUGCAAAUAUCAAGAUUAAUGUGGUGUUGGGGCGUGCGGUUGCACUCUGCCCACAACCCUGCAGCACCUUCUGGCUGUGCUGAUGAAGCAAUAACUGGCAAGCAAAGGAAACAAUUCUCCAUCUUUUAUUUUUGGAAGAAGUACAAUGGGAAUAGGACUGCACAGCGGAGAAUUCAGUGUGGCAGAAGGAUGGGAAGCAUGGAGGUUUCUGAGAUGGUUUGGAUGCUGCUUCCACCAAGCAGAAGGGAUGUUAUACUCAAAUUAUUCAUCAAAGCUGAGACCUUACACGGAUUAUUUUAUUGGAAAGUCAAGUAAACAACCACUGAUUUUCUUUCCCCCCCGUAAAUAUAAAGCAGAGAUCUUGUGUAAGAGGAGACAAUGUUAAAAUAACGAACACCAGAAGGGGCUGAAUGGAAAAGCCUGAGGUUAGAGCAGAGAGAAACUGUCAAAAGUUUUAACAGAAAUUUUAUGAGACCAUAUUUGUAUUCAAAAAAUCUAUCAGAGUUUUGAAAUCAAAAUAACUGCUGUUAGAUUAUUUGCUGAAAAUAGCUUUAUAGUGAGAAAAAAACCCCAUCUCCUGUAUCCCACGCUAAGAUGUAUAUGCUAUACCAUUCUGAAAUCCCAAAAGACAAUCUAAAUCACCUGGAUUCAUGAUGCUCAGGGUAGAUGCAAGUAGCUGGGUUUUCCCAUAAAUGUUGUUGUGGAAUACUCCAAUAACACAACUGUUGGGCCAGGUGCCUGGGUUGUGUGUGUGACACGGGUACAGGAGCACUGAGGCGGACGCGUGACGUCGCUGCGUUUCCUGUACGUCACUUAUCACAGCCACACAUUGUGGCCCUGGUAACGCCAACCAAGAGUUUGCCGGUGACUUCAGCGGAGCCAGAAUUUCACCCCAGGCUGGGAGCAGCUGACGGAGAGUGCCACGGGCUGGUGACCUUCAGCAAUUUCAAGUCAGUGACGUAGAAGUGAAAAAAUUCCUUGUCACACAACUGAUCUCAUCGGCAACCCAGGGUACCCAAAUUUCACUUUGGAUUUUCAACCAAGUUUCCAUUCACGUGGCACCUAUGUAGAUAAUAUGUUAAGGCAUUAUUCUUAAAAAAGUAAAGAAUUAAUUUCUUUAAGAGAUGGGCGAUUUGUAGAAGACAUUUGUGUAAUUUUGCAUUCUAAAUGUGAUUUAUAUUUAUAAAUAA